rnacentral:rRNA from 1 species
UGGGGAAUAUUGGACAAUGGGCGAAAGCCUGAUCCAGCCAUGCCGCGUGUGUGAAGACGGUCUUCGGAUUGUAAAGCACUUUAAGUUGGGAGGAAGGGCAUUAACCUAAUACGUUAGUGUUUUGACGUUACCGAAAGAAUAAGCACCGGCUAACUCUGUGCCAGCAGCCGCGGUAAUACAGGGGGUGCAAGCGUUAAUCGGAAUUACUGGGCGUAAAGCGCGCGUAGGUGGUUUGUUAAGUUGGAUGUGAAAUCCCCGGGCUCAACCUGGGAACUGCAUUCAAAACUGACUGACUAGAGUAUGGUAGAGGGUGGUGGAAUUUCCUGUGUAGCGGUGAAAUGCGUAGAUAUAGGAAGGAACACCAGUGGCGAAGGCGACCACCUGGACUAAUACUGACACUGAGGUGCGAAAGCGUGGGGAGCAAACA